UACAGAGGUCUCAACCGUUGUUCGGAUUCAUUGGGCGUAAAGGGUGCGUAGGUGGCUUGGUAAGUUUGAUGUGAAAGCUCAGGGCUCAACCCUGAAAUGGCAUUGAAUACUACUGAGCUGGAGGUUUGGAGGGGGGACUGGAAUUCUCGGUGUAGCAGUGAAAUGCGUAGAUAUCGAGAGGAACACCAGUGGCGAAGGCGAGUCCCUGGACAACACCUGACACUGAGGCACGAAAGCUAGGGGAGCAAACAGG
rnacentral:rRNA from 1 species